UAUUAUGAGUGUAUGAUGAGGCUCAAGGUCUGUCAGAAGCUGAAUCUUUCACUGUCUUGAUUUUAACUGGGUUUUGUCAUGUGCUCUGGCCAUGUCAUUCUUUAAAGUUUGUGUCCUGCCCCCUUCCCUCCUGUUUCACAUCUAUUCGUGGGUCAGCUUAUGUGGCUUACAGUAGUUUUAUGUGCACGCACCUAUGAGACUGGGGGGAGGGGGAGACCAUGGGUCUCUAAGCUUGAGUUAGACCGAAGCAAAUGGUGUUCAGACUCUUCCAAAGGUUUCAAACUGAAAAACGUUGGCAGGCAUUAACCUGCUCCACCUGGGACAUGUACCUAAUUUCACUUUUCUUUAGAAUUCCUAGAGAAACAGAUUCUUGACUCUCCUCAGGAACACGGAUUAGUGUCUUAACAGCUCUUCUGCCGGGGAAGUUCCUGCUGACCCCUCACCUCCAUCCCUCUGGCUGCCAUGUAAACUGCUCUACUCAAAUGGAGAACACUCCUCUGCACCAUAUCCCUUGUAGGAGCUUUUUCAAAAACCGAACUUUCAACAGAAUAAAGAUCCCGCACAUGAGAUGGAAUCACAUGCUUCAAGUCCUACCCCAUCAUUUUACAGCUGAGGGAAGUGAGACCUGGAGAAGGGGUGACUUGCCCAUGGCCAUGCAGCUGAUGGAGCCUGGAAUCGGGUACUCACUCCCCUUCCAGCCAGUGCCCUUCCUUCUCCGCCCAGAUGUGUGCCCCGGGCAGGAAUGCCUUGUCUGAACAGGGAUGAAAAGCAGACGUCAUUAGUCCCAGAGAUGAUCUUAGUUCCCUGACCAGGGAUUGAACCCAUGCCCCA